GCAAACUUGGUCAUUUAGAGGAAGUAAAAGUCGUAACAAGGUCUCCGUAGGUGAACCUGCGGAGGGAUCAUUAUUGAAUUUAGGUCCUUUGGGCCUUUAUCCUCAAAAUCUGUGGAAAGUGAAAAAGUGUUUCGGUGCCAACAGCACCGCCUUUUAACGCCGAGAAUUUAAUUUUGUCUGAAGAAACAUAAAAUGAAUAUAAAAAACUUUCAACAAAGGAUCUCUUGGCUCUUGCAUCGAUGAAGAACGCAGC
rnacentral:misc_RNA from 1 species